UAGGGGGAUCUUCGGCAAUGGACGAAAGUCUGACCGAGCAACGCCGCGUGAGUGAAGAAGGUUUUCGGAUCGUAAAACUCUGUUGGUAGAGAAGAACGUUGGUGAGAGUGGAAAGCUCAUCAAGUGACGGUAACUACCCAGAAAGGGACGGCUAACUACGUGCCAC
rnacentral:rRNA from 1 species